rnacentral:tRNA from 1 species
GCGGGUUUAGCUCAGUUGGGGGAGCGUCGGACCGAAGCCAAACUUCAUCAUCUAUCUGAAGGUCAUGUGUUCGAUCCGCAUAAACCGUA